AAAGAGAGUCAGGUGAUCAAUUUAAUGAGCAAAAGACAAAUAUGAUACAUGGAUAUAACAAAGAGACAUUUAGUGUUCUAAUUUUAAAAUGGAUUAGGAUUGACAUAAAUAGAGUAUAAAUUUUUUACAUUAUAAAAUGAUCAAACAAUUUUUCUUUUUUUUAUGCAAAGCAAUUUUCCAUUGAUUAUAUGCAAAUGAGACAAAAUAUGGCUACAAUUCUCAAUUUCGUAUUUGUUAUCAUCCUAUUUAUUUCUUUACUUCUUGUUGUAACUAAAGGCUAUCGUGAGCCUUUUUCUAGUUUUACCGAAGGUCCAACUUGCAAGGAGGACAUUGAUUGUCCAUCUAUUUCUUGUGUCAAUCCUCAAGUUCCUAAGUGCAUUAUGUUUGAGUGUCACUGUAAAUAUAUUCCCACCACCUUAAAAUAAGUGUCAUUUAAGUAGAAGAAAUUUGUCCCCAAAUAAUCAAUGAAUGAGGUGCAAUAUAAAAGGCAAGGAUUGUUUUCUUUAUUUUCUUUUACAAGAUAUGUAUGUAAAAUAAAAAUGUCGUCGCAAAACAAUGAAUGAGGUGCAAUAUGUAGAGAAAAUAUGAUUAUAUAAUAAAGUAAUCAUUUUCCCUUAAAAAAUAAUAGUAAUAAUUUAUUUAUUUAAUUUUGGGUACAACGUUUAUCAUUUAUUCUAGUCCUACAGUUUAUAGGUGAACAAAUAUUAUCAUGUAUUUUAAUUUUACCAUACAUAUAAUUAUAAGCUUACAAUUCUUUUACCUAAAAAGAAACAUACAAUUCUUUCUCUCUGUUUUUUUUUUUUGUAACAAAAAUCUUUCUUUUUUAUGAUAAAAAAAUACUACUAAAUUUAUUUUGUAGUACAUACAACCCAUGCAUCUAAACCAUAAGUAAGAAGUUUAAAAUAAUACUAACUCCAUCCCACAAAUUUGACAUAGUAGGUCAUUUAACAAAAAUACGAAGUUAUAAAUGAAAGAACAGGAAUAACAAUUCUACCAAAUUAGUUUAAUUUAUUAUUGGUUGAUUCCUAAAAAUAAAAAUAAUUUAAAAGUAAUGCAAAUAAUAUUAAUUAGAGAGUAUAUAUAACUCGACAAAAGUAAUCAAUCAUUCAAUCAUACAAUAUUGAGAGUUGAGUUGGAGGCGGAGCCUUUUUGUUUGGGAGAAAACCUUAGUGGUGGAAUUGUUAGGUGUGUUGGAGAUACACCGUCUUUUUGAGGGUUCUGACUCUUUGUCCUAGAAGCAAUGCUCGGAUGGUGUGUUUUUUGGUUAGGUCCGCUUAUAUAGCCACCUUUUUGUUACUUGUGGGAUUGCGUCGAGGGUGUGGUAUAGGAUUUUUAUGUGGUUAGGUUGAGAUUUAGUCUUUCCGAGGGAUGUGUUAGAUCUUUUUGAGGGGUGUUGCAUGUUCCCUGAGAGAGUGAACUUUCAAUGGUUUAUUUUUUUGUUGAUUUGGCAUUUAGUUGUGUGGUCCAUAUGGUUUGCUCGUAACGAUCUAGUGUUCUCUGGCAAGGCGGUAGAUAUUAAGCAACUGGUUGACAAAAUUCAAUUUACCUUUUUGUUUGUAUUUUGUAUCCCCCCUCUCCUCUUUUUUGGUGUCCGCUUGUGCCUUAUUUUCUUUUUGUUUUGUCAUUAAAAAAAAUCAUACAAUAAACUAUAAGAAAGAUAAUUAUCCGGGAAGUUUGUCAACUAUUGAGAAUCAAGUUCCGUGUGAUUUUCUACUAUUCAUCUUUUAUUGCAAUUUUCUAGCUUUAUCAACAAAACAAAAAAUGUGAGUUAAAUUUUUAACUCUUAAAAGUUUCAAGUUUUAGGAAUUAAAGAAUAAUAUUAUUCUUGGAUCUAGACCUUAGAUGACGACGGUGAAAUCCACAUUCUCUCACAAAUUCAUCAUAUAAUGUGAGAAUCAAGUUUGACAAGUGAGUAUACACCAAAUCUUAUAGAUUAUAUGCGAUCAUAAAGCUAAAAAGAUGAGAGAUCUUGUAAAUGUUAUUUAAGAUGGCAAAUUUUUUGUCAUAUUUUCUUUGUUUAAUCUAAGGUGCUUUUAAAGCAACAUAGAGAAAGACAAACUCUCAUUGGAGAGUGAGUAUUUCAUUAAGAUUGUUUAGCAAAGAAAACAUUAAGAGCACAUUAUGAAAAUAUUUAAUCUUGCUAAGGCACUAUGAUUUCGACUAUCAAGUAACUUGUUCAAAAAUUCAACAUUUAAUAUUAUAUUUGCGCACAAUUAAGUUUAUAAUUGUUAAAGUUAGAAAUAAUUCCUUAAAGAAUCAGUUCAUAAAGUGUGCAAAUAAAGAAAAGUUGAAGCAAGAGAGAAUAAAUUAAAAUAGUGUUCAUUCGGAAAAUACCUCAAAAGAUAAGGGCAAAUAAAGAAAGGUAGUCUUAACUGACUUAUGUCCAAUGAUGUUGAAAGAUAUAUCAAUUUAGAAUGGACAAAGUCGAUAAAGAAUGUUUUAUUCAUUUUUGGAACUAUUUUUAGAUUGUUGUUACUAGCUUAUUUUUGUAUUUAAAAGACAAUUUGAUGAAUCAUUAUUUGGAUUAUUAUUUUUCCAAAAAAUGGAUAUAAGAUGUAAAAACGCCACGUAAUUUUAAAUGUCUAAUAGACAUAUACUCAGCAACACACAUAUGCAAUUUUUCAUUAUCAAUUGACACUAAAGAUCAAAAGUGAAUAAAUUUAAAAUAACAGAGGUUGAGUGAAGAAAUUCACAUAAAAGAGAAUGAUACCUAAAAACUAAAUUUUAAGAUAGAAAGACUCCAAAAGUGACAUUCAAAAACUAAAAAAAAAAAAAAAAAAACAGUUCAACUUAAUGUUAGUGAUUUUCAAAGUAUCUAAAAUUGAAUUUGAUCAUCACAUUAGAUCAAGUGAAUCCACACAAGUGAGUUUGACACCACAUCUUCAACAUAAAUAUUAAGGCAUUAUGUAUAUUUGUCAUAUCACUUAUAUGUUGUUCAUCAUUCACUCUUGCAUCCAAUGUGAAAUUUAACACAAACUUGAUACACUAACAUCUCUCUCUCUCAAUUAGGAGACUUUCUGCAUGUAGAAUCUACCACCAAGAACCACUCAUACUUCCCUACAAAAUUGAAUCAAACGCCAUCGUUGAACCUUAUGAGGAAGCCAACAUUUAUGUGGAUCAAUCCAUUGUACAGAUAUCAACCACAUAAACGAUAAUGAUAUCACAUCUCCAUACUAGAAAUAAUAACAAUGUCGAUAAAAAAAUGAUUGUCAAUGACAAAAUAUAUUCUAAUAUGAGAUCCUUACUAAAGUUGAGAGAGCAAUUAUUUUAUUAUUUUUAUAAGGAGUCAAUUGAUCGACUGAGUGACCAAAGGACAAAU
rnacentral:lncRNA from 1 species